rnacentral:rRNA from 1 species
UAGGGAAUCUUCGGCAAUGGGGGGAACCCUGACCGAGCAACGCCGCGUGAGUGAAGAAGGUUUUCGGAUCGUAAAGCUCUGUUGUUAAGGAAGAACGAGUGUGAGAAUGGAAAGUUCAUACUGUGACGGUACUUAACCAGAAAGGGACGGCUAACUACGUGCCAGCAGCCGCGGUAAUACGUAGGUCCCGAGCGUUGUCCGGAUUUAUUGGGCGUAAAGCGAGCGCAGGCGGUUAGAUAAGUCUGAAGUUAAAGGCAGUGGCUCAACCAUUGUAGGCUUUGGAAACUGUUUAACUUGAGUGCAGAAGGGGAGAGUGGAAUUCCAUGUGUAGCGGUGAAAUGCGUAGAUAUGUGGAGGAACACCGGUGGCGAAAGCGGCUCUCUGGUCUGUAGCUGACGCUGAGGCUCGAAAGCGUGGGGAGCGAACAGG